UUGACCUCGAAUCAGGUAGGAAUACCCGCUGAACUUAAGCAUAUCAAUAAGCGGAGGAAAAGAAACCAACCGGGAUUACCUCAGUAACGGCGAGUGAAGCGGUAACAGCUCAAAUUUGAAAUCUGGCUCCUCUGGAGUCCGAGUUGUAAUUUGUAGAAGAUGCUUUGGGUUGUGGGUUCGGCCUAAGUUCCUUGGAACAGGACGUCAUAGAGGGUGAGAAUCCCGUAUGUGGCCGAGGCCCGCGCCUAUGUAAAGCUCUUUCAACGAGUCGAGUUGUUUGGGAAUGCAGCUCAAAAUGGGUGGUAAAUUUCAUCUAAAGCUAAAUAUGGGCCAGAGACCGAUAGCGCACAAGUAGAGUGAUCGAAAGAUGAAAAGCACUUUGGAAAGAGAGUUAAACAGUACGUGAAAUUGUUGAAAGGGAAGCGCUUGCACCCAGACUUGGGCGCUGCUGAUCACCUUGCGGUCUCCGCGAGUGCACUCGACAGCGCACAGGCCAGCAUCGGUUCGGGUGGCUGGAUAAAGGCCGUAGGAACGUAGCUCCCUUCGGGGAGUGUUAUAGCCUACGGUGCCAUGCAGCCCAGCCGGACCGAGGACCGCGCCUUCGGGCUAGGAUGCUGGCGUAAUGGGUGUAAGCGACCCGUCUUGAAACACGGACCAAGGAGUCUAACAUCUAUGCGAGUGUUUGGGUGGUAAACCCAUACGCGGAAUGAAAGUGAACGUAGGUGAGAACCCCUUUGGGGCGCAUCAUCGACCGAU
rnacentral:rRNA from 1 species